rnacentral:rRNA from 1 species
GUGGGGGAUAACUAGUCGAAAGAUUAGCUAAUACCGCAUACGACCUGAGGGUGAAAGUGGGGGACCGCAAGGCCUCAUGCUAUAGGAGCGGCCGAUGUCUGAUUAGCUAGUUGGUGAGGUAAAGGCUCACCAAGGCGACGAUCAGUAGCUGGUCUGAGAGGACGAUCAGCCACACUGGGACUGAGACACGGCCCAGACUCCUACGGGAGGCAGCAGUGGGGAAUUUUGGACAAUGGGCGAAAGCCUGAUCCAGCAAUGCCGCGUGUGUGAAGAAGGCCUUCGGGUUGUAAAGCACUUUUGUCCGGAAAGAAAUGGCUCUGGUUAAUACCUGGGGUCGAUGACGGUACCGGAAGAAUAAGGACCGGCUAACUACGUGCCAGCAGCCGCGGUAAUACGUAGGGUCCAAGCGUUAAUCGGAAUUACUGGGCGUAAAGCGUGCGCAGGCGGUUGUGCAAGACCGAUGUGAAAUCCCCGAGCUUAACUUGGGAAUUGCAUUGGUGACUGCACGGCUAGAGUGUGUCAGAGGGGGGUAGAAUUCCACGUGUAGCAGUGAAAUGCGUAGAGAUGUGGAGGAAUACCGAUGGCGAAGGCAGCCCCCUGGGAUAACACUGACGCUCAUGCACGA